rnacentral:tRNA from 1 species
GAUAAGCUUUCGGAAACAAAAGAUCUUGAAAAUCUUUAAAAAGGGUUCGACUCUCUUACUUAUCU